UGUGCGCUCCAGGACAGCUUCUCCUGUGCCCUCUAGAACUUCUAGCACUUGCAGCAGCGACUGGCACUUAGCAGAUCCUCAGCAGAUAUUUGCUGAAGGAGCGAAGGAGCGAGUGAGGGAGGUUCUCCUUACCCAGCUCUCCCCAGUUGUCACGGCACGGCAACUCUUGCAUUGUUUACUGAAGUUUAGGGCACCUGCUUUCUCAUUCGGUAUAUCUUGGGAAAAAUGAAUAUGGUAAAACCGCACCACAGCAGCUACAGCACAGACUUUGCAUUUGAUACAGGAUUGCAAUCUUAUCGGCACCUCUUCCGAUGGCCCGUGUGCAUUGUGGACAGGACAUCUCCUCUGGGGAUGACGUUCAGAAUUCUACAAGAGAGAAUGUGCUCCAGAGCAGGGGCCAUGAGCUUUCCAUACAAGUUGCUCAGAAAACAUUAGCCGUCUCCAGGAUCCUCCUCCUCCUGCUUCUCCUCAUCCUUCCCCACCUGUGUGUGGAGUGGCGAUUAGCCAGGUAGCACUUACUAAGAACUUGAAGGGUCCUUGGUUUCCAACCAGGGGCGUCAAAAGCCAGCGGAGGCCCCCAUUUCUGGCACCAUUUCUGACUUCCUCCGGGGAAUUUCUGCCCCAACAGUAAAUAUGUCUAUUGUCUUAGACUG